UUAAUUUUUAAACUAUGGAAGAAAAUCGAAUAUGUCUCCUGCAAUGCUAAGUAGCUGAUUUUUCCUCACGUCACUUCAGUUAGCUAUUAAACUGUGUUGAAGUUGGUGGUAUAUUUUGCGGGUCAAAAUUUUGGUGAAAAACUUCCUUUAAAACCCGAUUUGUAAUAAUCCCAGUAUGCAUAAUACUAAGCCUAAAACACAACAAAGAAAAGAAGAAUAUUAGGAUAGGCAUACCGAAAUUGUUCAGAGGAAAUGUUAGAUUUAGCGAUUGACAUGGUAGAAAGUAACAGGGUGUCAAAUCGGGAGGCAGAAAAGAGGUUCGGGAUCCCUCGAUGAACGGUAUUAAAUAAAGUUAAGAAAAUUUACUUAAAAUCACUUGGAGAACAAACCAAGCUCACUGACGAAGAGAAAGAAAAUUGGCAAACGUGUUGUUAGCUCCAGCAGAUUUAUGGCAGCCCCAUGACUAAAAUGGAUGAAAAAAUGUUAGUCUAUAAAUAUGUUGCAAAUAUCACGGACUGAUUUGUUCGAUGGAAAAUUACCCAAUGCAUGUACUUUAGACUACUGCAAAUUGUAUGAUAGUUCAAAUAUUUUUAGAUUAAUGUUUAAGAGCGAAAUAAGUCAUAGUAACAUCAAGUACUUCACCGUACUGAUUAGUAAUAAAAAAUGUGACAACCCUU